rnacentral:rRNA from 1 species
UACGUAGGGUGCGAGCGUUACUCGGAAUUACUGGGCGUAAAGCGUGCGCAGGCGGUUUGCUAAGUCCGAUGUGAAAUCCCCGGGCUUAACCUGGGAACUGCAUUGGUGACUGGCAGGCUAGAGUAUGGCAGAGGGGGGUAGAAUUCCACGUGUAGCAGUGAAAUGCGUAGAGAUGUGGAGGAAUACCGAUGGCGAAGGCAGCCCCCUGGGCCAAUACUGACGCUCAGGCACGAAAGCGUGGGGAGCAAACAGG